rnacentral:rRNA from 1 species
ACGAACGCUGGCGGCGUGCUUAACACAUGCAAGUCGAGCGGUAAGGCCCUUUCGGGGGUACACGAGCGGCGAACGGGUGAGUAACACGUGGGUGACCUGCCCUCAGCUCUGGGAUAAGCCUGGGAAACCGGGUCUAAUACCGGAUAUGACUCCAUGACGCAUGUUGUGGGGUGGAAAGCCUUGUGCGGCUGAGGAUGGGCCCGCGGCCUAUCAGCUUGUUGGUGGGGUGAUGGCCUACCAAGGCGACGACGGUAGCCGGCCUGAGAGGGCGACCGGCCACACUGGGACUGAGACACGGCCCAGACUCCUACGGGAGGCAGCAGUGGGGAAUCUUGCGCAAUGGGCGAAAGCCUGACGCAGCGACGCCGCGUGAGGGAUGACGGCCU